rnacentral:rRNA from 1 species
UAAUAAGACUUUAAUUGAGUGCUAAGAGAAUGGAUUUUCAAAAAAAUUCUUUUUUAAGUUUAAAAAUUAAAGUUAUUUUUAUUUGUGAAGAAACAAUAAUAAAAAUUAAAGACAAGAAGACCCUAUGAAUUUUUAUAAACUUUAAUAUUUAAUUAAAUACUAAAGUUUAUUUAAUUGGGGCGAUUGAGAAAGAUAAAAAACUUUUUUUUUAUUUAAAGAGAUCCAUUAUUAAUGAUUUUAUGUAAAAAAUACUCUAGGGAUAACAGCGUAAUAAUUUUAGAUAGAUCUUAUAGAAAAAAUAGUUUGCGACCUCGAUGUUGGAUUAGGAUACUUGUUUAAUGAAGAAGUUAAAUAAAG